rnacentral:misc_RNA from 1 species
GAUGAAGAACGUAGUGAAAUGCGAUAAGUAAUGUGAAUUGCAGAAUUCAGUGAAUCAUCGAAUCUUUGAACGCACAUUGCGCCCCUUGGUAUUCCGGGGGGCAUGCCUGUUCGAGCGUCAUUAUAACCCCUCAAGCUCAGCUUGGUGUUGGGGCCUGCCGACUGGCAGCCCUUAAAAUCAGUGGCGGCGCCAUCUGGCUCUAAGCGUAGUAAUUUCUCUCGCUAUAGAGUCCCGGUGGAUGCUUGCCAGCAACCCCCAACUUUCUAUGGUUGACCUCGGAUCAGGUAGGGAUACCCGCUGAACUUAAGCAUAUCAAAGCGGAGGA